GACGAACGCUGGCGGCGUGCCUAACACAUGCAAGUCUACUCAGCAAUGGGUGGCGAACGGGUGAGUAACGCGUAGAUAAUCUGCCCUUUAAUCACGGAUAACCUAGUGAAACUGGACUAAUACGGGAUGUGAUCGCGAAAUGGCAUCAUUAGCGAUUAAAGACUACGGGUCGUUAAAGGAGGAGUCUGCGUAUCAUUAGCUAGUUGGCGGGUAACGGCCCACCAAGGCGACGAUGAUUAGCUGGUCUGAGAGGAUGAUCAGCCACACUGGGACUGAGAUACGGCCCAGACUCCUACGGGAGGCUG
rnacentral:rRNA from 1 species